AUUAGCUUGGCAGAUUAAUUGUGUCAAAUUUAGAAUUUGAUGAGGACUUAGUAUACAAGUCAGUUAAUA
rnacentral:tRNA from 1 species